rnacentral:tRNA from 1 species
CGAGAAAGUAUAGCAAGANNUGCUAANUCAUGCUCCCGUGCCUACACUCACGGCUUUCUU